rnacentral:lncRNA from 1 species
GGAUAAGACUCAACAGAAAUGUACCUGAUAACAAAUCCUCUGAAGAGUGUUAGGGAAAGAUUUCAAUAAAGGGAAAGGUUUCAGUAAAUCUUCCACAACUGCACCCUACAGAACUGACACUGUUUUCUGCUUCCUUAGAAAAUGUACCUCAACAGCUUAAAGAAUAGUAACAGCAAAGUAAAAUGUAGCAUACUAACACAGGAAUUCUAAAAAAGGCAGCCCCAGAACAAAAUAUAAUUAAGUACUCUGGCAAUAACAACUAUUUGAAGAAAAACUGGAAAACAAUUAUUCACAAACAUCCCCAAAAAGAAAAAAACCAGGGCCACUCUUACCCGCAGAGCAUGCAGUUCCCACAGAGCAGUGUUCUGAGCAUUGCAGUACUCAGGCUCAUCCAGUUCAGGAAGGAAAACUCCACUUCCCUGAGAUUCACUGUCAAGCAGUAGAUCUGUUUUGGGGAAAGUCUGCAAAAAUGUCACAUAAAAAGAAUUGGUUAAAUUAACAUUGUUAAUAUAAGAGGUGUUACUGGUUUGUAGUUGUAUUUGCAUUUAAAUUUAUGGUUGUAUAAGAGCUUUGCAUAAAGUCUUUACACCUAGAUUUAAUAAAAAACAAUUUAAGUUUAUAUAGUAAGAAAAAAAAAA